rnacentral:rRNA from 1 species
UACGGGAGGCAGCAGUGGGGAAUAUUGCACAAUGGGGGAAACCCUGAUGCAGCGACGCCGCGUGAGUGAAGAAGUACUUCGGUACGUAAGGCUCUAUCAGCAGGGACGAAGAUGACGGUACCUGACUAAGAAGCCCUGGCUAACUACGUGCCAGCAGCCGCGGUAAU